AAAAAGAGGAAUCAUAGAAGUGUUACAACACAGAAGGAAGCCAUUUGAUCUAUUGUGUCUACAUGAACUCUCCAAAUGAGAUCUUUCAUUUUAAAAAUAACUCAAGGCAUAUCACACCAGAAACAUUAGAACCAGAGGGAAAUGAGAAGAGAAGUCAAAAAGGUUUGCAGUUACAAAGCACCUUCCACCUUAAGAAAGGCCAACAAGCUUUACAUGUUUCACAAUGAAGGACUUUUAAAAGUCACAGAAGAUCCCAGAACUCUUUCCAAGUAGUGGGAGCUUAGCAUUGUUGGUCAACAUGUAAC